rnacentral:rRNA from 1 species
CCUACGGGUGGCAGCAGUGGGGAAUAUUGGGCAAUGGGCGCAAGCCUGACCCAGCAACGCCGCGUGAAGGAAGAAGGCUCUCUGGUUUUAAACUUCUUUUCUCAGGGACGUAACAAGUGAUGGUACCUGAGGAAUAAGCCACGGCUAACUAAGUGCCAGCAGUCGCGGUAAUACGUAGGCGGCAAGCGUUAUCCGGAUUUACUGGUUGUAAAGGGCGCUUAGGCGGGGACGCAAGUCAGAUGUGAAAACCACGGGCUCAACCCGGGACCUGCAUCUGAUACUGUGUUGCUUGAGUGCAGGGGCGGCAGGCGGAAUGCAUAGUGUAGCGGUGAAAUGCGUAGAUAUUAGGAAGAACACCGAUUGCGAAGGCAGCUUACCAAUCUAUAUCUGACGUUGAGGCACGAAAGCGUGGGGAGCAAACAGGAUUAGAUACCCCUGUAGUC